rnacentral:rRNA from 1 species
GAUGAGCGCUAGCUACAGGCUUAACACAUGCAAGUCGAGGGGUAACGAGAGGAAAGCUUGCUUUCCUUGUCGACGACCGGCGCACGGGUGAGUAACGCGUAUCCAACCUGCCCCCAACUAGGGAAUAACCUUGCGAAAGUAAGACUAAUACCCUAUAAUUUCCUCAGAUGUCAUCUGACGAGGAAUAAAGAUUUAUCGGUUGUGGAUGGGGAUGCGUCUGAUUAGCUUGUUGGCGGGGGAACGGCCCACCAAGGCAACGAUCAGUAGGGGUUCUGAGAGGAAGGUCCCCCACAUUGGAACGUAGACACGGUCCAAACACCUACGGGAGGCAGCAGUGAGGAAUAUUGGUCAAUGGGCGGAAGCCUGAACCAGCCAAGUAGCGUGCAGGAUGACGGCCCUAUGGGUUGUAAACUGCUUUUAUACAGGAAUAAAGUUAGCCACGUGUGGUUAUUUGUAGGUACUGUAUGAAUAAGGACCGGCUAAUUCCGUGCCAGCCGCCGCGGUAA